AUUGAACGCUGGCGGCAUGCUUUACACAUGCAAGUCGAACGGCAGCGCGGGCUUCGGCCUGGCGGCGAGUGGCGAACGGGUGAGUAAUACAUCGGAACGUGCACUGUAGUGGGGGAUAGCUCGGCGAAAGCCGGUUUAAUACUGCAUACGACCUGAGGGUGAAAGCGGGGGAUCUUCGGACCUCGCGCUAUUGGAGCGGGCGAUGGCAGAUUCGCUAGUUGGGGGCGUAAAGGCCUUCCAAGGCGACUAUCUGUAGCUGGUCUGAGAGGACGACCCGCCACACGGUGAGUGAGACACGUCCCAGACACCUGCAGUAGGCAGCAGUGGGGAAUUUUGGACAAUGGACGAAAGCCUGAUCCAGCAAUGUCGCGUGUGUGAUGAAGGCCUACUGGUUGUAAAGCACUUUUGGCGGGAGCGAUAAGGACUGUUCCAAUACCACAUUUCGAUGACGGUACCCGCAGAAUAAGCACCGGCUAACUACGUG
rnacentral:rRNA from 1 species